rnacentral:rRNA from 1 species
CAGCAGCCACGGUAACACGUAGGGUGCGAGCGUUAAUCGGAAUUACUGGGCGUAAAGCGUGCGCAGGCGGUUUUGUAAGACAGGCGUGAAAUCCCCGGGCUCAACCUGGGAAUGGCGCUUGUGACUGCAAAGCUAGAGUGCGGCAGAGGGGGAUGGAAUUCCGCGUGUAGCAGUGAAAUGCGUAGAUAUGCGGAGGAACACCGAUGGCGAAGGCAAUCCCCUGGGCCUGCACUGACGCUCAUGCACGAAAGCGUGGGGAGCAAACAGGAUUAGAUACCCCUGUAGUCCCUGUCUCUUAUAC